rnacentral:rRNA from 1 species
UACGGAGGGUGCAAGCGUUAUCCGGAUUCACUGGGUUUAAAGGGAGCGCAGGCGGAUUGGUAAGUCAGUGGUGAAAGGCUUAAGCUUAACUUGGGGACUGCCAUUGAUACUAUCAGUCUUGAAUGUUGUUGAGGUUUGCGGAAUGGGUCAUGUAGCGGUGAAAUGCAUAGAUAUGACCCGGAACACCUAUUGCGAAGGCAGCAGGCUAAACAAAUAUUGACGCUGAGGCUCGAAAGCGUGGGGAUCAAACAGG